rnacentral:rRNA from 1 species
AGAGUUUGAUCAUGGCUCAGGACGAACGCUGGCGGCGUGCUUAACACAUGCAAGUCGAACGGUGACGAGGGGCUUGCUCCUCUGAUCAGUGGCGAACGGGUGAGUAACACGUGAGUAACCUGCCCUUCACUCUGGGAUAACUCCGGGAAACCGGGGCUAAUACUGGAUAUGACUCGAACAGGCAUCUGUAUCGGGUGGAAAGAUUUAUCGGUGGGGGAUGGACUCGCGGCCUAUCAGCUUGUUGGUGAGGUAAUGGCUCACCAAGGCGACGACGGGUAGCCGGCCUGAGAGGGCGAUCGGCCACACUGGGACUGAGACACGGCCCAGACUCCUACGGGAGGCAGCAGUGGGGAAUAUUGCACAAUGGGCGAAAGCCUGAUGCAGCGACGCCGCGUGAGGGAUGAAGGCCUUCGGGUUGUAAACCUCUUUCAGCAGGGAAGAAGCGAAAGUGACGGUACCUGCAGAAGAAGCACCGGCUAACUACGUGCCAGCAGCCGCGGUAAUACGUAGGGUGCAAGCGUUGUCCGGAAUUAUUGGGCGUAAAGAGCUUGUAGGCGGUUUGUCGCGUCUGCUGUGAAAUUUCGGGGGCUCAACCCCGAACUUGCAGUGGGUACGGGCAGACUAGAGUGUGGUAGGGGAGACUGGAAUUCCUGGUGUAGCGGUGAAAUGCGCAGAUAUCAGGAGGAACACCGAUGGCGAAGGCAGGUCUCUGGGCCACUACUGACGCUGAGAAGCGAAAGCAUGGGAGCGAACAGGAUUAGAUACCCUAGUAGUCC